rnacentral:rRNA from 1 species
UACGGAGGGUGCAAGCGUUAUCCGGAUUCACUGGGUUUAAAGGGUGUGUAGGUGGGUUGGUAAGUCAGUGGUGAAAUCUCCGAGCUUAACUUGGAAACUGCCAUUGAUACUAUCAGUCUUGAAUAUUGUGGAGGUCAGCGGAAUAUGUCAUGUAGCGGUGAAAUGCUUAGAUAUGACAUAGAACACCAAUUGCGAAGGCAGCUGGCUACACAUAUAUUGACACUGAGGCACGAAAGCGUGGGGAUCAAACAGG